GAUGAUGGUGAGAUGGGGCCAAGGAAAAGACGACCAAACAAAAGGUAUUUGGAGGAGGACAGCGAGGAGGAGGCAGGACCAAGCCGUAGGGGGAGGAGGCCACCAUCUAUUGACGCCACUCAGCUGGACAGCGAGUGGCAAUUCCCCUCCCUUAAUGAAGACACCCAGCCAGGCCUGUUUCUUCACAGACAGCCAUUAACUCAUG